rnacentral:misc_RNA from 1 species
GAAAUGCGAUAAGUAAUGUGAAUUGCAGAAUUCAGUGAAUCAUCGAAUCUUUGAACGCACCUUGCGCUCCUUGGUAUUCCUUGGAGCAUGCCUGUUUGAGUAUCAUGAAAUCUUCAAAGUAAAUCUUUUGUUAACUCAAUUGGUUUCUACUUUGGUAUUGGAGGUCUUUGCAGCUUCACACCUGCUCCUCUUUGUUCAUUAGCUGGAUCUCAGUGUUAUGCUUGGUUCCACUCGGCGUGAUAAGUUAUCUAUCGCUGAGGACACUGUAAAAGGUGGCCAAGGUAAAUGCAGAUGAACCGCUUCUAAUAGUCCAUUGACUUGGACAAUACUUUUAUGAUCUGAUCUCACAUCAGGUCGGACUACCCGCUGAACUUAAGC